rnacentral:rRNA from 1 species
CCGCAUACGCCCUACGGGGGAAAGAUUUAUCGGGGAUGGAUGAGCCCGCGUUGGAUUAGCUAGUUGGUGGGGUAAAGGCCUACCAAGGCGACGAUCCAUAGCUGGUCUGAGAGGAUGAUCAGCCACAUUGGGACUGAGACACGGCCCAAACUCCUACGGGAGGCAGCAGUGGGGAAUAUUGGACAAUGGGCGCAAGCCUGAUCCAGCCAUGCCGCGUGAGUGAUGAAGGCCUUAGGGUUGUAAAGCUCUUUCACCGAUGAAGAUAAUGACGGUAGUCGGAGAAGAAGCCCCGGCUAACUUCGUGCCAGCAGCCGCGGUAAUACGAAGGGGGCUAGCGUUGUUCGGAAUUACUGGGCGUAAAGCGCACGUAGGCGGAUAUUUAAGUCAGGGGUGAAAUCCCGCAGCUCAACUGCGGAACUGCCUUUGAUACUGGGUAUCUUGAGUAUGGAAGAGGUAAGUGGAAUUCCGAGUGUAGAGGUGAAAUUCGUAGAUAUUCGGAGGAACACCAGUGGCGAAGGCGGCUUACUGGUCCAUUACUGACGCUGAGGUGCGAAAGCUUGGGGAGCAAACAGGAUUAGAUA